rnacentral:rRNA from 1 species
AACGCGAAGAACCUUACCAGCUCUUGACAUGCCCGGUAUGGGGAGGAGAGAUCUUCUCCUUCGGUUCGGCCGGCCGGGACACAGGUGCUGCAUGGCUGUCGUCAGCUCGUGUCGUGAGAUGUUGGGUUAAGUCCCGCAACGAGCGCAACCCCCAUCUGCAGUUGCCAGCGGCUCGGCCGGGCACUCUGCAGAAACUGCCGGUGACAAGCCGGAGGAAGGCGGGGAUGACGUCAAGUCCUCAUGGCCUUUAUGUCCAGGGCUACACACGUGCUACAAUGGCCGGUACAAACCGUCGCAAACCCGUGAGGGGGAGCUAAUCGGAAAAAGCCGGCCUCAGUUCGGAUCGUAGUCUGCAACUCGACUACGUGAAGCUGGAAUCGCUAGUAAUCGCGGAUCAGAAUGCCGCGGUGAAUACGUUCCCGGGCCUUGUACACACCGUAGAGAC